UUACCACUUCGCUCUAAUCAAAUCUUUUUUUUCUUUCCGGCGAUGCCGUUUCGCCGUCUUAUGCUCCCCUCUCCGUCUCAGAGAUCUAUUCGGGUCUUAUUUGCCUGUGUUUGUGAAGAAUCUGCCUUAGUUUUUAUUUUAUUUUAUUUUAUUUACAUCCGACUUUGCUUCCGUGUUUUCGAAUCUGGGUUUAAAUCCUAAAAUCCCUAUUUGUUUUGAGUUUCUUGGGUUUAUAUCGCUAAGAGGAUACAAUGCAAUUCGGAUCCAUCAAAGUUCUUUUUGUUUCUAUCUGACAUUAAGCUCUUUUUCUUGGUCGCCAUUACCGACGCGCCUUUCACCUUUUCAACGCCUCUAAGAUUGUCCUCCGAGAUCUUCGAUUCCGUUACCUCGCCGCCAAGUGCCUCGAGGAAUUGAAGGAAUGGGAUCAGUGCCUCUUGAUGCUUGGUGAUGCUAAGGUUGAUGAAGAUGGAAUUGUCUAUGAUGCCAAAGAUGGUAGCGUCAUAGAUUAAUAUUUCUUCGGCAAUAUGCUUCUUAAGAGGGAAAGCAUAUGGAGCUUUACAAAACCGUUCUCAGGCUCGACAAUGGUACAAAGCUGCUAUUAAGGCUGAUCCUCUGUGCUAUGAGGCUUUGGAAUGC